rnacentral:lncRNA from 1 species
CCUUUCCUUCCUUUCUUUUUGGUUUAGAGAAGCCCUUUCAAUAUUUCCUUUAACCUGGGUUUUGUGUUGCUGUAUUCUUUAAGUUUUUGUUUGUUGGGAAAAAUUUUUAUUUCCCCUUCUAUUUUAAAUGAUAUUCUUGCUGGAUAGAGUAUUCUAGGUUGCAUAUUUUUUCCUUUGAGCACUUUAAAUAUCUCUUGCCAUUCCCUCCUGGCCUGUAGUGUUUCUGUAGAGAAAUCAGCUGAUAUUCUUAUGGGGGUUCCCUUGUAGGUAACAUUCUGUUUUUCUCUUGCUGCCUUUAGGAUCCUCUCUUUAUCACUAACUUUUGCCAUUUUUAUUAUGAUGUGUCUUGGUGUGGGUCUGUUUGGGUUCAGUUUGUUUGGGGCCCUCUGUGCUUCUUGUAUCUUGAAUCCAGUAUCCUUUAGAUUUGGGAAGUUUCCAGCGAUAAUUUCUUCAAAUAUAUUUUCCAUUCCCUUAUCUUUUUCUACUCCUUCUGGAAUUCCUAUUAUGCGUAGAUUGGCCCGCUUUAUAUUAUCCCAUAGGUCUCUUAUAUUGCUUUCCAGUUUUUUGAUUCGGUUUUCUGUCUGUUGACCAGAUUGAGUGAUUUCCAUUAUUCUAUCUUCCAUAUCACUGAUUCGUUCUUCUGCAUUAUUCAUUCUGGUUUUUACUGCCCCUAGUUCAGUUUGCAUCUCUGCAAAUGAAUGUUCUAGUUUUUCUUGGCUCCUCCUUAUAUUUUCUAGUUCCUUUCUGAGGGUAUCUGCAUUACUGUUCAUAUCUUCUCUUAAUUCCUUCAGUAUUUUCACUAUUUCUCUUUUGAACUCCAGGUCUGUCUGACUGCAGAGAUCUGUUUCAUUGUUGACUGUUUUAGGUGAGUUCUCCUGUUGGUUUGACUGGGGGUGGUUUCUCAGCUUCUUCAUCUUGCUUGUUGUUUUCUUUCUCCUGAGGGAGUUGUACUCUCCGUUAUCGGGCAGUGUUUGCCUUGUCACUGCCGUGGAAUAUUUCCUGAGGGCUGGCGUUGUUGGUCAAUCUUUUUUGAGGCAGUGUGGCUUUUCUGGAGUGUUGAUGGGGCUAACAGUGUUUCUUUGAAGCAAAGGAGGACUUCCUGAGGGCAGACAGGACUGGGAGGUCCACACCACGAUGGUAGCAGAUUUCACUUGGUCAUGCAGAGCUUGCUCUGGUGUUUUUAGGCUGUGGGGUUCUUGCAGGGGGUUGGCGGUGUUGGGCAGCUGCUCCUCAGGAGUGCAGCACCCCCUGGGGGCUGGAGCAGCUAUCUGGGUCACUGAGAACCUAAGAGGCUCUUCCCUAGGGCAGCCCAACUCAGAAGGACAGCCUGAGAAUGUAGGCGGAUCUUUUCACAGUCUGGCCGAGCUUGUUGCAGCUUUUCUGGGCUGCAGGGGCUCUUCUAGGGGGCUGGUGGUGCUGAGCAGCUAUUCCGUGGGAGUGGGGCACCCCCUAGGGGCUUUGGCGGGUAGCAGGGCCACUGGAAACCCAAGCGGCUCCUCCCCAGGGCAGCCUGACUCAGACUGUCUGAGAUCUUUUCCGGGCUCGGCCAAGCUUGUUGCAGCUUUUCUGGGCUGCAGGGGGUCCUGCCUGGAGCUGUCAGUCCUAUGCAGCUGAUCCACUAGGCACCCCCUGGGGGCUUGGGCGGGUAGCAGGGCUGUCGGAGACCCAAGAGGCUCCUCCCCGGGGCAGCCUGACUCAGAAAAACCAUCUGAGAUCUUUUCCCGGCUCGGCCAGUCUUGUUGCAGCUUUUCUGGGCUGCAGGCCUUUUCUCGGGGGCUGGUGAUGUUUGGUGCUACUCUGCGGAAGUGUAGCCCCUCCAAAGGGCAAGCAGGCCUGUGCAGGGACAGCCCCUGCGGUGGUAGGCUUCAGGCAAUUGUUGAGGCCAGCCCUCCUGGAUGGCAGGCAGCCCCAGGUCUGGUGAGAGCGUAGGGGGUGGCAGGGAUGGGGGGAGGGGAUGCACUGGGAAGCACAGCUUUCAGCUAGCUAGUGGGCCUGUAAGCUUGCUGUGGCAUGGGGGGUAUUCUAUGGGGACCCACCCCUUCUUCUCUCCCCUCCCCAGCACAGGCGCAGACCAGGCUCUUCUCCCAGGUUCCCUCUGAUGCAGCUUUCCCCUCCCCCGCCCCUAGAGUAUUGCUCCCUUCCUCUGCGACAGCUUUGUUUUCUAGUCUCCCAGGCAGUCUCUGCCUCGUAAAAUGGUUUCUAGACCUCCCAAGCAGUUUCCACUCCACCCCGCCCCCCCAGCCCGGGGACUAACCUCUGGAGCCUAGGUGUCGGUGCCCAGCCCCCACCCAGGCGUCUCAAUUUUUGGUGACUGUGCCCGUAGUUCAGAUGGUCCGUUCGGUUCUUGAUCGGCUUUUCCGUACUCCAACUUACUGCUACACUCUUCUCUGCAUCUGGAGAUUCCUCCAGUUUGUUUGAUAUUUCCCCCAUGUAGGUGACUUUCCAAGGUGUGGAAUCCCUUUCUCCUCCGCAGUUCCCUUUCAGGAGCGCCCGUCCCGCUCGGAUUUUCCUUCUCUCCCUCUCCUCUUUUCUCCCGUUCUGCCCAGUAAUGUCACGAACUUCUUGCCGUUAUUGGAGUUUAGGUUCUUCUGCCAGCGAUUGGUUGCUGUUCUGUGCGAGUCAUUUAUUCUGUAGAUGUGCUUUUUUUGUUGUGUUUGUGGGAGAGGGCGAGCGUGUCCCCCUACUCCUCCGCCAUCUUGUC